UUAGGGCUGUAAAUGAGCCAAGCUAUUCGUGAGCUACUCGAGGCUCGACUCGAUAAAAGCUCGACCGAGUUCGGCUCGUUUUUUAAACGAGCCAAGCUCGAGCUCAAUUUUGAGGCUCGUCACUUAAACGAGCUGAGCUUGAGCUCCAUAGUAUUCGGCUCGUUAAGGCUCGCGAGCUGGCUCGUUUUUAGGCUCGCGAGCUGGCUCGUUUUUAGGCUCGCNNN
rnacentral:lncRNA from 1 species